CCUACGGGAGGCAGCAGUGGGGAAUAUUGCACAAUGGGGGCAACCCUGAUGCAGCGACGCCGCGUGAGUGAAGAAGUCUUUCGGUAUGUAAAGCUCUGUCAGCAGGGAAGAAAAUGACGGUACCUGACUAAGAAGCACCGGCUAACUACGUGCCAGCAGCCGCGGUAAUACGUAGGGGGCAAGCGUUAUCCGGAUUUAAUGGGUGUAAAGGGAGCGUAGACGGCAGGGCAAGUCUGAAGUGAAAGGCGGGGGCUCAACCUCCGGACUGCCCUUGAUACUGCCAGGCUGGAGUGCAGGAGAGGGAAGUGGAAUUCAUGGUGUAGCGGUGAAAUGCUUAGAUAUUAGGAGGAACACCAGUGGCGAAGGCGGCUUAC
rnacentral:rRNA from 1 species